CCGCUUGAUCCGCUUUAGUUGUGCUUGAAACGCCUGAUCCGUUUGAUCCGCUUUAGUUCUACUUGAAAUGCUUGAUCCUCUCCACGAAAGAGGCUUUCUCCAUUCGGAGCCACUUGUGUUUGAACCACUUGAUCCGCACUUGUACAGUUAGAUCUACUUGAUCCGCUUUUGUUCUACUUGAUACGCUAAAUCUGCUCCGCCUGAUAC